GAUGAACGCUAGCUACAGGCUUAACACAUGCAAGUCGAGGGGUAACGAGAGGAAAGCUUGCUUUCCUUGUCGACGACCGGCGCACGGGUGAGUAACGCGUAUCCAACCUGCCCCCAACUAGGGAAUAACCUUGCGAAAGUAAGACUAAUACCCUAUAAUUUCCUCAGAUGUCAUCUGACGAGGAAUAAAGAUUUAUCGGUUGUGGAUGGGGAUGCGUCUGAUUAGCUUGUUGGCGGGGUAACGGCCCACCAAGGCAACGAUCAGUAGGGGUUCUGAGAGGAAGGUCCCCCACAUUGGAACUGAGACACGGUCCAAACUCCUACGGGAGGCAGCAGUGAGGAAUUUUGGUCAAUGGGCGGAAGCCUGAACCAGCCAAGUAGCGUGCAGGAUGACGGCCCUAUGGGUUGUAAACUGCUUUUAUACAGGAAUAAAGUUAGCCACGUGUGGUUAUUUGUAGGUACCGUAUGAAUAAGGACCGGCUAAUUCCGUGCCAGCCGCCGCCGCGG
rnacentral:rRNA from 1 species